GGGCAAAAAAACCUUUGUUAGUUUAUUAAAAUAUUAUUGAAGUUUUUUUUUCUAUGCUAAAUGUUAUCAUGCAUUUAGCAUGUUUAGAUUUAUGAUUUGGGCUCAGUUUUCAAGUUGAUUCAAAUUGGGGUCCAAACUUAAACUUUGUUUAAAUUCAUUAAAAAUUGCAUAUAUGGGGUUCUUUGAUAUGAUAAAUCUAAUCAUGUCUUUUAGACUUUAGAUUUUGGAUAUUGGCACAAGUCCAAUUUCAAAAUCAUCAGUUCUUUUACCACAUUUAUUCUGUGUCAGAAACCUACAUGUAUGAUGUGUCUAAUA
rnacentral:lncRNA from 1 species